UACGUAGGUGGCGAGCGUUGUCCGGAUUUACUGGGCGUAAAGAGCGCGCAGGCGGUCGUUCAAGUCGCGUGUGAAAGCCCCCGGCUCAACUGGGGAGGGUCACGCGAUACUGAUCGACUCGAAGGCAGGAGAGGGAAGUGGAAUUCCCGGUGUAGUGGUGAAAUGCGCAGAUAUCAGGAGGAACACCAGCGGCGAAGGCGGCGCUCUGGGCCGGUACUGACGCUGAGGUGCGAAAGCGUGGGGAGCAAACAGG
rnacentral:rRNA from 1 species